rnacentral:rRNA from 1 species
GUGGUAGUCCGACACGAGCGACACCCGCCGUUAGUUGCCAGCGGUUCGGCCGGGCACUCUAACGGGACUGCCCGCGGAAAGCGGGAGGAAGGAGGGGACGACGUCUGGUCAGCAUGGCCCUUACGGCCUGGGCGACACACGUGCUACAAUGCCCACUACAAGCGAUGCCACCCGGCAACGGGGAGCUAAUCGCAAAAAGGUGGGCCCAGUUCGGAUUGGGGUCUGCAACCCGACCCCAUGAAGCCGGAAUCGCUAGUAAUCGCGGAUCAGCACGCCGCGGUGAAUACGUUCCCGGGCCUU